rnacentral:rRNA from 1 species
GACGAACGCUGGCGGCAUGCCUAAUACAUGCAAGUCGAACGCUUCUUUCCUCCCGAGUGCUUGCACUCAAUUGGAAAGAGGAGUGGCGGACGGGUGAGUAACACGUGGGUAACCUACCCAUCAGAGGGGGAUAACACUUGGAAACAGGUGCUAAUACCGCAUAACAGUUUAUGCCGCAUGGCAUAAGAGUGAAAGGCGCUUUCGGGUGUCGCUGAUGGAUGGACCCGCGGUGCAUUAGCUAGUUGGUGAGGUAACGGCUCACCAAGGCCACGAUGCAUAGCCGACCUGAGAGGGUGAUCGGCCACACUGGGACUGAGACACGGCCCAGACUCCUACGGGAGGCAGCAGUAGGGAAUCUUCGGCAAUGGACGAAAGUCUGACCGAGCAACGCCACGUGAGUGAAGAAGGUUUUCGGAUCGUAAAACUCUGUUGUUAGAGAAGAACAAGGACGUUAGUAACUGAACGUCCCCUGACGGUAUCUAACCAGAAAGACACGGCUAACUACGUG